AGUGAACGCUGGCGGUAGGCCUAACACAUGCAAGUCGAACGGCAGCACAGUAAGAGCUUGCUCUUACGGGUGGCGAGUGGCGGACGGGUGAGGAAUACAUCGGAAUCUACUUUUUCGUGGGGGAUAACGUAGGGAAACUUACGCUAAUACCGCAUACGCCCUACGGGUGAAAGCAGGGGAUCUUCGGACCUUGCGCGAUUGAAUGAGCCGAUGUCGGAUUAGCUAGUUGGCGGGGUAAAGGCCCACCAAGGCGACGAUCCGUAGCUGGUCUGAGAGGAUGAUCAGCCACACUGGAACUGAGACACGGUCCAGACUCCAACGGGAGGCAGCAGUGGGGAAUAUUGGACAAUGGGCGCAAGCCUGAUCCAGCCAUACCGCGUGGGUGAAGAAGGCCUUCGGGUUGUAAAGCCCUUUUGUUGGGAAAGAAAAGCAGCAGGUUAAUACCCCGCUGUUCUGACGGUACCCAAAGAAUAAGCACCGGCUAACUUCGUG
rnacentral:rRNA from 1 species